ACGGAAUGGAACACUCAUGUCACAUUUCUCAUCCAGUCAGAAAAGCUGUUUCUCUCACAUGUUUACUAUUUGAGUCUUCAAGUGGAGAAUCUAUUAGGAAGGUGAUGGGCAAGGAGAAAGAAGAAUGUUUUUAUUCUUGUGAAAGCUCUCUAUAUUACAGAGAACUGUUCAUUGUCACCUUGGAGCUGGGAGGUAGCUGUCUGGCAGAGUACUUGGGUGCAGAUGCAAUGAGUUUCCCCAAGAGGAGAAAAAUAUCUUGUCGUUGAAUAUGUGAUGGGUGGAGACAUGCAAAUCCUGCCUGUUGGACGUGCACCUCUGUACAGUUCAUGAUGUGUCUGACAGCCAGAGCUGCACCAAUCCAAUCACACUGUGAGCC
rnacentral:lncRNA from 1 species